rnacentral:tRNA from 1 species
GGAAGCUGGCUACCCAAGCAGCGUGUGCCUGCGGGGUUUGGGUGGCGAGAUUUAAAGCAGAGCACUAAACAUGUAGAUCUGUCCGGCGAAGGCUUACGGACGCGGGUUCAAUUCCCGCCAGCUCCACCA